GAUGAAGAACGUAGCAAAAUGCGAUAAGUAAUGUGAAUUGCAGAAUUCAGUGAAUCAUCGAAUCUUUGAACGCACAUUGCGCCCGCCAGUAUUCUGGCGGGCAUGCCUGUUCGAGCGUCAUUUCAACCCUCAAGCACAGCUUGGUGUUGGGACUCGCGUUAAUUCGCGUUCCCCAAAUUGAUUGGCGGUCACGUCAAGCUUCCAUAGCGUAGUAGUAAAACCCUCGUUACUGGUAAUCGUCGCGGCCACGCCGUUAAACCCCAACUUCUGAAUGUUGACCUCGGAUCAGGUAGGAAUACCCGCUGAACUUAAGCAUAUCAAUAAGCGGAG
rnacentral:misc_RNA from 1 species